CAGCAGCCGCGGUAAUACGUAGGUGGCAAGCGUUGUCCGGAAUUAUUGGGCGUAAAGGGCUCGCAGGCGGUUUCUUAAGUCUGAUGUGAAAGCCCCCGGCUCAACCGGGGAGGGUCAUUGGAAACUGGGAAACUUGAGUGCAGAAGAGGAGAGUGGAAUUCCACGUGUAGCGGUGAAAUGCGUAGAGAUGUGGAGGAACACCAGUGGCGAAGGCGACUCUCUGGUCUGUAACUGACGCUGAGGAGCGAAAGCGUGGGGAGCGAACAGGAUUAGAUACCCGUGUAGUCCCUGUCUCUUAUAU
rnacentral:rRNA from 1 species